AACCUCCACAAUGCACGCAAGUGUGAUGGGGGGAUCCUACGUGCUCAUGUUUAACAUGGGCUUUUGCCAAAUGUAAGGAGUUUGGCGAAUAAGGGGUGGGUAAGACUGGUGCCAGCCGCCGCGGUAACACCAGCGCCCCGAGUGGUGGUCACGUUUAUUGGGCCUAAAGCGUUCGUAGCCGGUUUGGUAAAUUCCUUGUGAAAUCGUCACGCUUAACGUGACGGCGUGCAGGGAACACUGCCAGACUAGGAACCGGGAGGAGUCAGAGGUAUGCCGUGGGGACCGGUAAAAUGGGAUAAUCCACGGUGGACCACCGAUGGCGAAGGCAUCUGACCAGAACGGAUUCGACGGUGAGGAACGAAAGCCAGGGGAGCGAACCGGAUUAGAUACCCGAGUAGUCCUGGCCGUAAACGCUGUAUGCUAGGUGUUGCCCCUCCUAUGAGGAUGGGCAGUGUCGAAAUGAAGAUGUUAAGCAUACCGCCUGGGAAGUACGGUCGCAAGACUGAAACUUUAAGGAAUUGGCGGGGGAGCAC
rnacentral:rRNA from 1 species